rnacentral:rRNA from 1 species
UACGUAGGGGGCUAGCGUUGUCCGGAUUUAUUGGGCGUAAAGAGCGUGUAGGCGGCCAGACAGGUCCGUUGUGAAAACUCGAGGCUCAACCUCGAGACGCCGAUGGAAACCGUCUGGCUAGAGUCCGGAAGAGGAGAGUGGAAUUCCUGGUGUAGCGGUGAAAUGCGCAGAUAUCAGGAAGAACGCCCGUGGCGAAGGCGGCUCUCUGGGACGGUACUGACGCUGAGACGCGAAAGCGUGGGGAGCGAACAGG